rnacentral:rRNA from 1 species
GGGCAAAUUGGUACCGUAACUUCGGGAUAAGGUACGCCCCUGUAGCCUGACUGGCCUGCGCCGGAAGGGUGAAGGGGUUGCAAUAAACUGGUGGCUGCGACUGUUUAAUAAAAACACAGCACUCUGCAAACACGAAAGUGGACGUAUAGGGUGUGACGCCUGCCCGGUGCCGGAAGAUUAAAUGAUGGGGUGCAAGCUCUUGAUUGAAGUCCCGGUAAACGGCGGCCGUAACGAUAACGGUCCUAAGGUAGCGAAAUUCCUUGUCGGGUAAGUUCCGACCUGCACGAAUGGCGUAACGAUGGCCACACUGUCUCCUCCCGAGACUCAGCGAAGUUGAAGUGUUUGUGAUGAUGCAAUCUCCCCGCGGCUAGACGGAAAGACCCCAUGAACCUUUACUGCAGCUUUGCAUUGGACUUUGAACCGAUCUGUGUAGGAUAGGUGGGAGGCUGAGAAAUGUGGACGCCAGUCUGCAUGGAGCCGUCCUUGAAAUACCACCCUGGUUUGUUUGAGGUUCUAACCUUGGACCCUGAAGCGGGUUCGGGGACAGUGCAUGGCAGGCAGUUUGACUGGGGCGGUCUCCUCCCAAAGUGUAACGGAGGAGUACGAAGGUACGCUAGGUACGGUCGGAAAUCGUGCUGAUAGUGCAAUGGCAUAAGCGUGCUUGACUGUGAGACUGACAAGUCGAACAGGUGCGAAAGCAGGUCAUAGUGAUCCGGUGGUUCUGUAUGGAAGGGCCAUCGUUCAACGGAUAAAAGGUACUCUGGGGAUAACAGGCUGAUACCGCCCAAGAGUUCAUAUCGACGGCGGUGUUUGGCACCUCGAUGUCGGCUCAUCUCAUCCUGGGGCUGUAGCCGGUCCCAAGGGUAUGGCUGUUCGCCAUUUAAAGAGGUACGUGAGCUGGGUUUAAAACGUCGUGAGACAGUUUGGUCCCUAUCUGCCGUGGGCGUUGGAUAUUUGAAGGGGGCUGCUCCUAGUACGAGAGGACCGGAGUGGACGAACCUCUGGUGUACCGGUUGUCACGCCAGUGGCAUCGCCGGGUAGCUAUGUUCGGAAGAGAUAACCGCUGAAAGCAUCUAAGCGGGAAACUCGCCUUGAGAUGAGAUACCCCCGGGGCUUCGAGCCCCUUGAAGGGUCGUUCGAGACCAGGACGUUGAUAGGUCAGGUGUGGAAGCGCAGUAAUGCGUUAAGCUAACUGAUACUAAUUGCCCGUAAGGCUUG